GCAGGCCUAACACAUGCAAGUCGAGGGGUAACAGAGAAGCUUGCUUCUGCUGACGACCGGCGCACGGGUGCGUAACGCGUAUGCAACCUACCUCAUACAGGAGAAUAGCCCUUGGAAACGAGGAUUAAUACUCCAUGGUAUCAUUCUUUCGCAUGUUAGAAUGAUUAAAGAAUUUCGGUAUGAGAUGGGCAUGCGUCCCAUUAGCUUGUUGGUGAGGUAACGGCUCACCAAGGCAACGAUGGGUAGGGGGCCUGAGAGGGUGGUCCCCCACACUGGUACUGAGACACGGACCAGACUCCUACGGGAGGCAGCAGUGAGGAAUAUUGGUCAAUGGAGGAAACUCUGAACCAGCCAUGCCGCGUGAAGGAUGACGGCCCUAUGGGUUGUAAACUUCUUUUAUAUGGGAAGAAACUUAUCUACGUGUAGAUAACUGACGGUACCAUACGAAUAAGGAUCGGCUAACUCCGUGCCAGCAGCCGCGGUAAUACGGAGGAUCCAAGCGUUAUCCGGAUUCAUUGGGUUUAAAGGGUCCGUANGCG
rnacentral:rRNA from 1 species